rnacentral:tRNA from 1 species
GCAGUGGUGAUUCAGUGGUAGAACUCUCACCUUCUAUGUAGGAGACCCAGGUUUAACUCCUGACCAAAGCA